UACGGAGGAUGCGAGCGUUAUCCGGAUUUAUUGGGUUUAAAGGGUGCGUAGGCGGACGCUUAAGUCAGCGGUAAAAUUGCGGGGCUCAACCUCGUCGAGCCGUUGAAACUGAGUGCCUUGAGUGGGCGAGAAGUACGCGGAAUGCGUGGUGUAGCGGUGGAAUGCAUAGAUAUCACGCAGAACUCCGAUUGCGAAGGCAGCGUACCGGCGCCCUACUGACGCUGAAGCACGAAGGCGUGGGUAUCGAACAGG
rnacentral:rRNA from 1 species